rnacentral:tRNA from 1 species
GGGCUAUUAGCUCAGCGGU